UACGUAGGGUGCAGGCGUUUAAUCGGAAUUACUGGGCGUAAAGCGUGCGCAGGCGGUCUCUUAAGACAGGUGUGAAAUCCCCCGGGCUUAACCUGGGAACUGCGCUUGUAACUGAGAGGCUUGAGUGUGCCAGAGGGGGGGUGGAAUUCCACGUGUAGCAGUGAAAUGCGUAGAGAUGUGGAGGAACACCGAUGGCGAAGGCAGCCCCCUGGGGUAAC
rnacentral:rRNA from 1 species